ensembl:lncRNA
GCUCAUUAUUAAGGGCAUUGUCAGAAUGCCUCUGGAACACUGGGAUAUCAACCAGCUCACCAGGAAUCCUGUACCACUGUUUGACCACUCUCAGGAUAACAGAGCUUCUCCUAACGUGCAGUCUGAGCCUCCCCUGGCCCAGCUCUGUAGGAAGACUGCAGAUUCCUGCUUCUAAGUUGCACAGCUGUUGCAGUAAAUUGAGUCAUUUUUUGAGUCUCUCUAUUGCUAAAUGAGAGUUUUGCAAAACACGCUUUGCCUGCUGGAAGAAUACAGAAAUUAACUGUAAACAUAGCUUUGAGUGAGAAGAAGAGAAUCGCUGCAGUGCAACAGAGAAGAAACGAGAUAGGCAGCAGACCUGCAGCAGCAAGAGAAGCAGAAGGCAAACAGGUGCCUGCAUGUUCUAGUCUGUUCUGUUCCCAUGUUUUGAGGAAGAUGGGUCCAUCCACAAAUGGAUUACAACUGAGGAACGUAGCCUACCAAAGGACAACAAGAGAAAUACCCCCACAGCCCAGGGAAGUAAUUCUUAUUCCUUUAUGGACACAUGCUAUUACCUGUACAUCAAGAAGAGAUUCUCCUUCAGUUCAUUCUUGAAGUUCUAAUCACUACCUGGCCAGGCCUGAGAUGCUGAGCUCCUAACUGGGGUCAAGACCACAUCUCUUUGGUAACACGGGGUCAGGCCAGCACAGGCACUCCUGUGAGCUGCAGCUUCAGAUUGACACUUGAGCAAAGUAUUCCAUUUCCUUUGCCAGCUGGAGCAAGCCCUUGUUUUCAGCUCUUUUGCUAUUCAGCAGACCACAGAUUUUUCUAGGAAUAUCAGCUGAUUGCAAGGAGCUGCACGAUAGAAGGAAGGUGAAUAACUGGGAACUAACAGGGCAUUCUCAUUCUCCUCCCUGGGGAGUGCUGCUUCCUGGUACAGCAGAUACAGCCCUUUCUAGCGUGUGACCUACUGAAAAAGUACAACUUCUAACUGCUAUUCCCACAGGAACCACGCAGGAAUUUCUUUUUCCGAGUUGUGAGAUGAAGGGA